ACAUGCAGAGAACUUUCCAGAGAUGGAUUGGUGCCUUCGGGAACUCUGACACAGGUGCUGCAUGGCUGUCGUCAGCUCGUGCGUGAGAUGUUGGGUUAAGUCCCGUAACGAGCGCAACCCUUGUCCUUAGUUACCAGCACGUUAUGGUGGGCACUCUAAGGAGACUGCCGGUGACAAACCGGAGGAAGGUGGGGAUGACGUCAAGUCAUCAUGGCCCUUACGGCCUGGGCUACACACGUGCUACAAUGGUCGGUACAAAGGGUUGCCAAGCCGCGAGGUGGAGCUAAUCCCAUAAAACCGAUCGUAGUCCGGAUCGCAGUCUGCAACUCGACUGCGUGAAGUCGGAAUCGCUAGUAAUCGUGAAUCAGAAUGUCACGGUGAAUACGUUCCCGGGCCUU
rnacentral:rRNA from 1 species